UGCUUAUGGAUAUAGGUAACUCAGUGCAGAUUGGUUAGUCACCAUGCUGAGAAUAUGUGUACGAUGAGAUGUGAUAUGAUGCGAUAGUUUCAUAUUGUAUCUUCUGGAAUACUGCGAGGUAUAAACAGAAAGACGGAAACCGUCAAAAUCAAACAUAUUUGCAAAAACAUAUUGCCGUAAAAUGUACUCGUCAGAUCACUGGCAUAAUAGACGACUCCGGUGGAGUAAUAAUCCUGAUGCCUAUAAGGGUGGAAUCUUAUAGGAAAUAAGUAAGGAAAAUCCAAACAAGUCAGUUGCGUCGUUGAAAAAAAGAAAUUUUUGUAUAAGAUCUGUUAGAGGUGCGAGUAGCCCAAAUUGACGAAUUAAAAAGGAUUGGAAAAUUAUAUUAAUAGAACAAUGGUUUAAUAUCUGCUCUCAUAUAUUGCUGAAUGACCUGGGUGAAAGUUAUGUGUAACCACUCACAUCUAUAAUUGCUGUUUAUCAGAUGCAAAAGAGGUAUAAAGGUAGCUCCUUUGUGCCCAGCCUUUUGUAAAUAGUGACAGAAUAUUAUGACGGUAUGUUAAUGUAGGGAGAAGUUCCAUCUAUGU
rnacentral:sRNA from 1 species